AGACCAAGCUCAUCCGAUCUGCGUCGUGAUAUAGCCCAGUACAGGGGCACCACACACCCACUAUGCUUCAUAGACGAAGUAAUGGACCAUCAAAUCCCCGAGGGCUUCAAACCCGUAAACAUCGAAUCAUACGAUGGCACAACAGAUCCCGCGGUAUGGAUCAAGGAUUAUCUCCUUCAUAUCCACAUGGCCCGUGGUGAUGAUCUACACGCCAUCAAAUACCUCCUGCUCAAGCUUCAAGGACCAGCUCGACAUUGGGUUAACAGCCUACCAGCAGAGUCAAUUAGUUGUUGGGAGGACCUGGAAUCAGCAUUCCUUGACAACUUCCAGGGCACUUAUGUGUGA
rnacentral:rRNA from 1 species